UACGAACUGUGCGAACGUUAUUCGGAAUCACUGGGCUUACAGGGUGCGUAGGCGGCUUAACAAGUCAGGUGUGAAAGCCCACGGCUCAACCGUGGAAUUGCGCUUGAAACUGUUCGGCUUGAGUAAGCUAGAGGUAUGCGGAACUUCCGGUGGAGCGGUGAAAUGUGUUGAUAUCGGAAGGAACACCAGAGGCGAAAGCGGCAUACUGGGGCUUGUCUGACGCUGAGGCACGAAAGCCAGGGGAGCAAAGGGG
rnacentral:rRNA from 1 species